CUGGAAUCAAUGAAUUUUGAAUCUAGGAAAAUCAACACUUGUGGUGGUGUUGAUGGUGGAGGUGCAGGUUUUGGAGGAGGAUGAGGAGGCAGUGGUGGUACUGGAUCAGAUUUGGAAGAUAAUUUGUAUUUGGAGUUAGUGGUGGUGUUUUGGUAUGAAGCUGAGAGGUUUGGUAUGGAUGUUAGAGCUGUGUUAGACAUUGUUUCAGAUAACUUCAUAAAAGCUAAUUGCUUAAACGUGGUAAUGAUCUCGCUGGAACUGGA